GAAGUCGGCAAAAUAGAUCCGUAACUUCGGGAAAAGGAUUGGCUCUAAGGGUUGGGUACGUUGGGCCUUGGGGAGACGCUUUCGGCGCAGAAGGGUACUAGCCGCAAGGUGGGCACCUUUCAGCGCUGGGAUGCUGGCACCCUUGGCAGGCUUCGGCCGUCCGGCGUACGCUUAACAACCAACUUAGAACUGGUACGGACAAGGGGAAU
rnacentral:rRNA from 1 species